rnacentral:tRNA from 1 species
AAGUUUACUAAAAUAAAAUUACAUUAAAAGAUUUAAUGAAGUGCCUGAAUAAAGGAUUAUUUU